CACACAGGCAGACGAGCAGUGCGGGCUCAGUGUGUGUCAGACGCCCGAAGCAGGCUGUGUGCUGCACGCUUCCUCCGCGCUCUCAUCCUGCCGCGACCCACAUCGCUCGACACUUCUCCCGGGGCGCGUGCUUGGGCUUGUUAUCAUAAACUGAAUACAUAUAAGGUCGUUUGUGCGGCCUUUGAGACAGGGUCUGGGCGCCAGGAGUCGAUCUGGGAUUAGUGUGGUGUUUGAAUUCUCGAAGCCUUGGUUUGGGACGUGUAAUUAAGAUACCGAUCAGUGAUUUGGCUGCAGAUGAACCAGUACUCACUGUGAAGUGCACUAAAUUGUCCCUGACAUAUAAUUGGUGCAGUGAUUUGAAGUGUAAUUUCCAAGAUAGAAAAUAGCCAUAACACAUCGUUAAGAUUGCUCGCCUGACUGCCGCUGGAACACAGUAGUCAUUAUUUUUUAUUUAAGGGGCUGCCAUAACUUCCAUCAGCAGCCAUGGGUUGUGCAAUGAGCAAUCCUGCUGACAAGGAAGCAGCAGAAAGAAGCAAGAAAAUAGACAAAGAUUUACGACUGGCUGGUGAACGUGCAGCAAAAGAGGUUAAACUUCUACUUUUAGGUGAGUGUUAUGUGCUUUGAUUUA